rnacentral:rRNA from 1 species
GACGAACGCUGGCGGCGUGCUUAACACAUGCAAGUCGAACGGAAAGGCCCUGCUUUUGUGGGGUGCUCGAGUGGCGAACGGGUGAGUAACACGUGAGUAACCUGCCCUUGACUUUGGGAUAACUUCAGGAAACUGGGGCUAAUACCGGAUAGGACCUCCUGCUGCAUGGUGGGGGUUGGAAAGUUUCGGCGGUUGGGGAUGGACUCGCGGCUUAUCAGCUUGUUGGUGGGGUAGUGGCUUACCAAGGCUUUGACGGGUAGCCGGCCUGAGAGGGUGACCGGCCACAUUGGGACUGAGAUACGGCCCAGACUCCUACGGGAGGCAGCAGUGGGGAAUAUUGCACAAUGGGCGGAAGCCUGAUGCAGCAACGCCGCGUGCGGGAUGACGGCCUUCGGGUUUUAAACCGCUUUCGCCUGUGACGAAGCGUGAGUGACGGUAAUGGGUAAAGAAGCACCGGCUAACUACGUG